AGCUUUUCGAAUCCGUGCUGAGAUUUCGUCAGACGCCAACACAUUUUGGCUGGUCAGACUUCCAAGAUAAGUGAAGUG
rnacentral:pre_miRNA from 1 species